GACGAACGCUGGCGGCGUGCUUAACACAUGCAAGUCGAACGGAAAGGCCCUGCUUUUGUGGGGUGCUCGAGGGGCGAACGGGUGAGUAACACGUGAGUAACCUGCCCCUGACUUUGGGAUAACUUCAGGAAACUGGGGCUAAUACCGGAUAGGAGCUCCUGCUGCAUGGUGGGGGUUGGAAAGUUUCGGCGGUUGGGGAUGGACUCGCGGCUUAUCAGCUUGAUGGUGGGGUAGUGGCUUACCAAGGCCUUGACGGGUAGCCGGCCUGGGAGGGUGACCAGCCACAGUCGGACUGAGAUACGGCCCAGACUCCUACGGGAGGCAGCAGUGGGGAAUAUUGCACAAUGGGCGGAAGCCUGAUGCAGCAACGCCGCGUGCGGGAUGACGGCCUUCGGGUUGUAAACCGAUUUCGCCUGUGACGAAGCGUGAGUGACGGUAAUGGGUAAAGAAGCACCGGCUAACUACGUG
rnacentral:rRNA from 1 species